CCUACGGGAGGCAGCAGUAGGGAAUCUUUCACAAUGGGCGAAAGCCUGAUGGAGCAACGCCGCGUGCAGGAUGAAGGCCUUCGGGUUGUAAACUGCUUUUAUAAGCGAGAAAUAUGAUGGUAACUUAUGAAUAAGGAUCGGCUAACUACGUGCCAGCAGCCGCGGUCAUACGUAGGAUCCGAGCAUUAUCCGGAGUGAUUGGGUGUAAAGAGUUGCGUAGGUGGCAUAAUAAGUAGCUAGUGAAAUCUGGUGGCUCAACCAUUCAGACUAUUAGCUAAACUGUUAAGCUCGAGACCGUUAGGGGUAACUGGAAUGUCUAGUGUAGGAGUGAAAUCCGUAGAUAUUAGAAGGAACACCAAUAGCGUAGGCAGGUUGCUGGGACGGUUCUGACACUAAGGCACGAAAGCGUAGGGAGCAAACGGGAUUAGAUACCCCUGUAGUC
rnacentral:rRNA from 1 species